rnacentral:rRNA from 1 species
GUCCACGCCGUAAACGUUGCAUACUCGAUCUUAGCGAUACACAGUUAGGAUCCAAGCGAAAGCGUUAAGUAUGCCACCUGGGAAGUACGUUCGCAAGAAUGAAACUCAAAGGAAUUGACGGGGGCCCGCACAAGCGGAGGAGCAUGUGGUUUAAUUCGAUGAUACGCGAGGAACCUUACCUGGGCUUGAAUGUGAGUGACCGAUGCCGAAAAGGUAUCUUCCCUUCGGGGCACAAAACAAGGUGCUGCAUGGCUGUCGU